AAUAAUGAGUAAUGAACAUUCAAAAUGAUUUGAAUUUUCCAAGAUUAUGAAAAUUCGAAUUAUUUCGAAUAUAAUUCGAAGUUUAAAAAUUAGUUUUGCAAAAUAUCUCGUAAUAACUUUCAAAAAUUCUAGAUUUUCAAUUAUAUUCGAAAUGAUCUGAAUUUUUCGUCACAUUUAAAAGUGUUUCAAAUCCUAUCAUUGCAAAUGAUUAUAAUUAUUGUCACUAAUAAUAAUAAUGAGCCCUUCGAGAGUCGGCAGAAAACUUGAGUCACCGAAGGCAGCCGAAGGUGAGCAUGCGUCGCAGGGCCAACCGAGUUUAGCCGAGACAAGGCGAAACGAACCGAACGAAUCAAACGAACCAAGCGAAGCGACGUGGAUACAAGAGCGUUGUUAGGUCAUUGACUGCCGGUGGCCACCGAUCCGCGAGUAUCCAAGGACAGCCGCUCCGACGCCUCGCGAUCUCUUUCUCUCUCUACCCAUUUUCCCGUUCUUCCGACCUCUCUUUCUUUGAUUCUCUUUUCCUUCUAUUCGUUCUUAUCAUCUCAUUUCAUUCUGUUCCGUUUAGAAAAAACCUAUUGGAUGAAUAUUGCAUGAUAUUAAAGAAUUGCAAUUGACUAAUGAUACUAAAUAUCCCAUUAAUCUUUAAUAAAUGAUGAAAAACAUGUUCAAAACAUAGUCCUUGAAUCAUAUUCAAGAAUAUAUAUUAUACUGUAUUGAAAUAUUACUCAUAACUUCAAAUAAAUUACAGAAAUUCUGUCGUAAAAUUUUCAAGUAUAGUAAUCAGUUUUAGCCAAUAGAACAAGUUAAACAGAGUGAAAUUUGAUACAGGAACCUUUUCAGAAUUUAAAUAUUUACCUACGUUUACAAUCGGUUCGAAGGUAUAAUUCUUCUUCAAUGACAUGAACCUUUUCAACUUGAAUGGUCAUUUGGUCCUAAUAAAAUAUGAUUGUGCAAUUUCUUUGCAAAAUGGUAACAAUAAUAAAUGAAGCUUUUCUAAAAGCUGACAGAAUAUAAAUGCACAGAAAUUUAUUAUUUUGGAUGAGGUAUGAAAUUUUUAUAAUGCUCUUAAUUAUAUUGUUUACUAUUAGGUUAUAAGAAU